AAUUGAAAGCAAGCUGUCUGAGACAUCUGUCAAGCCCACAGAAUCGAUUUGGUGGUUCUGCCAUGCUGGGAAGGUGUCCCUUUUCUUCUUGGCUCUGUCACAUGUGUCUCUCCCCGAGCUGCACUCUUAUUGAAGAGGAUGAUUUUCCUAGAUAGAGGAGGACAAGGAUCUAUAGGGAAUCAAGUUCUUCCACUGGAAUAUCCACCACUUGUGUAGUAGGU
rnacentral:sRNA from 1 species